CGGUAACAGGGAGCUUGCUCCGCUGACGAGUGGCGAACGGGUGAGUAAUAUAUCGGAACGUACCCAGAAGUGGGGGAUAACGUAGCGAAAGUUACGCUAAUACCGCAUACGAUCUACGGAUGAAAGUGGGGGACCUUCGGGCCUCAUGCUUUUGGAGCGGCCGAUAUCUGAUUAGCUAGUUGGUGAGGUAAAGGCUCACCAAGGCGACGAUCAGUAGCUGGUCUGAGAGGACGACCAGCCACACUGGAACUGAGACACGGUCCAGACUCCUACGGGAGGCAGCAGUGGGGAAUUUUGGACAAUGGGCGCAAGCCUGAUCCAGCAAUGCCGCGUGAGUGAAGAAGGCCUUCGGGUUGUAAAGCUCUUUUGUCAGGGAAGAAACGGUAGAGGCUAAUAUCCUUUGCUAAUGACGGUACCUGAAGAAUAAGCACCGGCUAACUACGUGCCAGCAGCCGCGGUAAUACGUAGGGUGCAAGCGUUAAUCGGAAUUACUGGGCGUAAAGCGUGCGCAGGCGGUUUUGUAAGUCUGACGUGAAAUCCCCGGGCUCAACCUGGGAAUUGCGUUGGAGACUGCAAGGCUAGAAUCUGGCAGAGGGGGGUAGAAUUCCACGUGUAGCAGUGAAAUGCGUAGAGAUGUGGAGGAACACCGAUGGCGAAGGCAGCCCCCUGGGUCAAGAUUGACGCUCAUGCACGAAAGCGUGGGGAGCAAACAGGAUUAGAUACCCUGGUAGUCCACGCCCUAAACGAUGUCUACUAG
rnacentral:rRNA from 1 species